UUGCUGGAGGUAUCAGAAGUGCGAAUGCUGACAUGAGUAACGACAAAGGGGGUGAAAAACCUCCUCGCCGGAAGACCAAGGGUUCCUGUCCAACGUUAAUCGGGGCAGGGUGAGUCGACCCCUAAGGUGAGGCCGAAAGGCGUAAUCGAUGGGAAACGGGUUAAUAUUCCCGUACUUCUGACUAUUGCGAUGGGGGGACGGAGAAGGCUAGGUGGGCCAGGCGACGGUUGUCCUGGUUCAAGUGCGUAGGCUUGAGAGUUAGGUAAAUCCGGCUCUCUCUAAGGCUGAGACACGACGUCGAGCUGCUACGGCAGUGAAGUCAUUGAUGCCAUGCUUCCAGGAA
rnacentral:rRNA from 1 species